rnacentral:rRNA from 1 species
AGAGACAGCAGUAGCCGCGGUAAUACGGAGGGGGCUAGCGUUGUUCGGAAUUACUGGGCGUAAAGCGUACGCAGGCGGUUUGUUAAGUCAGAUGUGAAAUCCCCGAGCUUAACUCGGGAACUGCAUUUGAAACUGGCAGGCUAGAGUCUCGUAGAGGGGGGUAGAAUUCCAGGUGUAGCGGUGAAAUGCGUAGAGAUCUGGAGGAAUAUCGGUGGCGAAGGCGGCCCCCUGGACAAAGACUGACGCUCAGGUGCGAAAGCGUGUGGAGCAAACAGGAUUAGAUACCCCUGUAGUCCCUGUCUCUUAUAC